ACCAGGCUGCAGGUGAAGCAGCUCUUUGCGCCUUCUAACGUCUCAUAAUUAGUCCUCAUUUAUGUCCAAGAGACUCAAUAAUAAUCUUUUACAUUCAAUCCUUUAAUCUUUCAUAUUUAAAAGCAUUUUUGUGCUGCUGCGCAUUCAUGUACCUUGUGAUAAGCAAACCUGCGUUGUCCUCCCGUGUAUAGGCGCAUUUUACUAAUGCCCUCUUUAAAUAACAUAAAACACAUUGCGCCAUUGACUUUAGACUUUAGACCAGGUUUUUGUUGGUCAAUGGCGUAGUCUAUUUUGGUUGCCUCAAAAUAGCAACGGGCCAACAAUGCGCCUGAACACACCUCGUUUUCAGACCAGAGCGCCCAUGGGCGCAAAAGGGGGCGCAAAUGCAUUUGCUAUUUAAACAACGCGGCGCUAAAUGUGAAAAUUAGGGUGGAAACUAGCGAAAGACACUUGCGUCGCACAUUGCGCCGGGUGUAAGAUAGAGCCCAAUAUGUCUUUUUGACUGAAUACAUGUUUGUUUUAUUUGUCUAUAUCCUAGAUUCGCAGCUGGACACAUCCUUCUACACUGUAUGCAAACAUGCAACAUCAUUACACACAGUACAAGGAGUCAGACUGGCAUAUAAGGAGCAAAGGAACCCAGGCAGUAGCAUCGUUUCACAAUGUUUCCAUCACCAUCAUCAGUGGAUGCCUUUGCCGUCCGUAGCCUGAGAUUUCAGAUUUGCAGCAAAAAAUUUUAUUUUCCCAUUUAUUGGAAUGCUGUGCAGUGAUAGAACAACUUUCAACUGGACAAAUUGUACUGUUGCUGCAACCUGAGCAGCCUCCUAGCUGCUACAAGCACACUCUGAAAGUGGCGGUGGAGGGUAGGAAACACAGCCCCGCCCCUCCCCCUGCCUGCCAAAGAGUGUCUGAUACCAGGCACUGUUGCGCUUUUCAACCACAUGGGGGAGCUGUUGUACCUUGCAGCCAUCCAUUACAAUGUCACCAAGCCAUAACAAAAGCAGGAGAGGGAAAGUACAAGGCUAUGUUCCCAAAACACACA